rnacentral:rRNA from 1 species
AAUGGGGGAAACCCUGACCCAGCAACGCCGCGUGAGGGAAGAAGGUUCUCGGAUUGUAAACCUCUGUCCCAUGGGAAGAAAAAAUGACGGUACCAUGGGAGGAAGCCCCGGCUAACUACGUGCCAGCAGCCGCGGUAAUACGUAGGGGGCAAGCGUUGUCCGGAAUUAUUGGGCGUAAAGGGUGCGUAGGCGGCCCCUCAAGUUGGAUGUGAAAUCCCCGUGCUUAACAUGGGAAUUGCAUUCAAAACUGAAGGGCUUGAGUGUGGAAGAGGUAAGUGGAAUUCCCAGUGUAGCGGUGAAAUGCGUAGAUAUUGGGAGGAACACCAGUGGCGAAGGCGACUUACUGGGCCACAACUGACGCUGAGGCACGAAAGCGUGGGGAGCAAA